AUUUAUCGAAUAACAUCCAGUUUGGAAUAAACCUUCGAAAUAGAAAUCAUUAAAACCAUCAAUGAAGAAUCCAACAGAUCCCUUAAAUGUGUAAAAGGGUAGAGACAGAGGUAUUUUGGGAAAAAAAGGAAAAAAAACUAUAAUAAUCAAUUAAAUAUUGCCCCACUAUUUCUGCAAUUGAGAUUCUUUUGUACAUCAAUCAAUUUGAAUCAUUUAAUGAGGUAG
rnacentral:misc_RNA from 1 species